rnacentral:rRNA from 1 species
CCCAUCGCCGAUCGCCUUGAGUUGAUCAUGGCUCAGAAUCAACGCUGGCGGCGUGCCUAACACAUGCAAGUCGAACGCGGUGUUCCCGCAAGGGAACACUGAGUGGCGAACGGGUGAGUAACACGUGGGUGACCUACCUUCGAGUGGGGGAUAACGUUCCGAAAGGAACGCUAAUACCGCAUAACAUCCUGCCUUUGAACAGGCGGAGAUCAAAGCCGGGGAUCGCAAGACCUGGCGCUUGAUGAGGGGCCCGCGUCCGAUUAGCUAGUUGGUGAGGUAAUGGCUCACCAAGGCGACGAUCGGUAACCGGCCUGAGAGGGCGGACGGUCACACUGGGACUGAGACACGGCCCAGACUCCUACGGGAGGCAGCAGUGGGGAAUUGUUCGCAAUGGGCGCAAGCCUGACGACGCAACGCCGCGUGGAGGAUGACGGUCUUCGGAUUGUAAACUCCUGUUGCUCGGGACGAAUAGCGCCGACCUAAUACGUCGGCGUGUGACGGUACCGAGUGAGGAAGCCCCGGCUAACUCUGUGCCAGCAGCCGCGGUAAUACAGAGGGGGCAAGCGUUGUUCGGAAUUACUGGGCGUAAAGGGCGCGUAGGCGGCCUGUUAAGUCGAACGUGAAAUCCCCGGGCUCAACCCGGGAACUGCGUCCGAAACUGGCAGGCUUGAAUUCGGGAGAGGGAUGCGGAAUUCCAGGUGUAGCGGUGAAAUGCGUAGAUAUCUGGAGGAACACGGUGGCGAAGCGGCAUCCUGGACGAGAUGACGCUGAGCGCGAAGCCAGG